GAAGGCGCCAACUUGGACUAUUACUGACGCUUAAGGCUCGAAAGUGUGGGGGAGCAAAUAGGAUUAGAUACCCUAGUAGUCCACACCGUAAACGAUCAUCAUUAAAUGUCGGCUCGAUUAUGAGUCGGUGUUGUAGCUAACGCAUUAAAUGAUGUGCCUGGGUAGUACAUUCGCAAGAAUGAAACUCAAACGGAAUUGACGGGGACCCGCACAAGUGGUGGAGCAUGUUGCUUAAUUUGACAAUACACGUAGAACCUUACCUAGGUUUGACAUCUAUUGCAAUGCUAUAGAAAUAUAGCGGAGGUUAACAAUAUGACAGGUGGUGCAUGGUUGUCGUCAGCUCGUGUCGUGAGAUGUUGGGUUAAGUCCCGCAACGAGCGCAACCCCUUUCGCUAGUUAAUUUAUCUAUCGAUACUGCUACCGCAAGGUAGAGGAAGGUGGGGAUGACGUCAAAUCAUCAUGCCCCUUAUAUCUAGGGCUGCAAACGUGCUACAAUGGCUAAUACAAACAGCUGCAAUUCCGCAAGGUUGAGCGAAUCUGAUAAAGUUAGUCUCAGUUCGGAUAGAGGGCUGCAAUUCGCCCUCUUGAAGUUGGAAUCACUAGUAAUCGCGAAUCAGACAUGUCGCGGUGAAUACGUUCUCGGGUCUUGUACACACCGCCCGUCAAACUAUGGGAGCCGGUAAUAUCUGAAACCGUACUGUUAACCUUUUUGGAGGCAUACGUCUAGGGUAGGAUUGGUGACUGGAGUUAAGUCGUAACAAGGUAUCCCUAUCCUU
rnacentral:rRNA from 1 species